rnacentral:rRNA from 1 species
UACGCAGGGGGCUAGCGUUGCUCGGAAUCACUGGGCGUAAAGCGCACGUAGGCGGAUCUUUAAGUCAGGGGUGAAAUCCUGGAGCUCAACUCCAGAACUGCCUUUGAUACUGGGGAUCUCGAGUCCGGGAGAGGUGAGUGGAACUGCGAGUGUAGAGGUGAAAUUCGUAGAUAUUCGCAAGAACACCAGUGGCGAAGGCGGCUCACUGGCCCGGUACUGACGCUGAGGUGCGAAAGCGUGGGGAGCAAACAGG